AUUGAACGCUGGCGGUAUGCUUUACACGUGCAAGUCGAACGGUAACAGGCCUUCGGGUGCUGACGAGUGGCGAACGGGUGAGUAAUGCAUCGGAACGUACCCAGAGGUGGGGGAUAACGCAGCGAAAGCUGUGCUAAUACCGCAUGUGAUCUGAGGAUGAAAGCGGGGGACCGAGCAGCAAUGUUUGGCCUCGCGCCUUUGGAGCGGCCGAUGUCGGAUUAGCUAGUUGGUGGGGUAAAGGCCUACCAAGGCGACGAUCCGUAGCUGGUCUGAGAGGACGACCAGCCACACUGGGACUGAGACACGGCCCAGACUCCUACGGGAGGCAGCAGUGGGGAAUUUUGGACAAUGGGCGCAAGCCUGAUCCAGCAAUGCCGCGUGCGGGAAGAAGGCCUUCGGGUUGUAAACCGCUUUUGGCAGGAACGAAACGGUGUCCGCUAAUACCGGGCGCUAAUGACGGUACCUGCAGAAUAAGCACCGGCUAACUACGUG
rnacentral:rRNA from 1 species